rnacentral:lncRNA from 1 species
CGUUAGCUCGUAUUUGUUCACUAGAACGGGUGUGUGUUCUCAAAACAGUGAAAAGUUGUGUACCUUUCAGGGUGGUUGCCUUUUUUUUUUUUUUGUUUUUUUUUUUGAAAAUACAUUUUUAUUUCCCCCUCUGAUACAUAAAUACUAGCAUAUUUAAACACUUUGCUUUCUUAAUAAUGUAUCAUGGAACUUUUCCCAUAUUGGUACACAAAGAAUUUU